CUAGCGCAGCUGAAAGUCCUGAGAUGCCUCAACACUUCCUCUUUUGAAAGUCGGCCAGGCACAGAAUGCCAAGUUCCCAAAAGCCUCAUAAUACCAAUUCUAGGCUCUUGAGGAGACUUUGUGAACAUGCGCAGAUGUCUUUUUCUGGCAAACAGGAAGUUCUUUCUUUUUUCCGCUUUUUCUUUUCUUUUUUCUUUUUUUUUUGCGUUAGAUGCCAACUUCAGCUUUGUGAAACUCCUGACAGCUGGAAACCUCCCCACUUCCACCAUCCAGUUUACGGUUUACUGCGAGUUUAGACUUGUGAGUGACUGAUGAAAGAAAAAUACUCUGCACUUUCAAAUCUUCAUUCUUAAUUCAAUAUCUUCCAUUCUUGCAGUGACUUCUAUUAACUUUUUUAAUUUGUUCACCUAGGAACCUAUAAAUACCAGGGGGGAACUCGUAUAUUUUCUUAGUUAUGACUAUUUAUCAAGUGCCGAAAGAACACCAUUACACUCCUAGUGCAUCAUGCAGUUGUUCACUUAAUAUAAAAACGGUGGAAAAACUAAAAUAAACUAGUACAUAUCCGUACAUAUCUAUCAGCAAGCAUAAAGAAAAUGAGCCGGGCAGUGGUGUGCAGGCCUUUAACCCUAACACUUGGGAUACAGAG
rnacentral:lncRNA from 1 species